GGCUGCAUGUUUGUCAAAUGCCUUCAAGUCUUUGCACUUCAGUUUCCUUGUGUGUAAAAAGCUGCAGUGACUGAAGGUGUGGUGGCUUUGUGCAUCUUUCAGGCCCCUGCCUGGCCAGCACACCCUGGUGGGUGCACCAGAUGGCCAGCAGGAGCUGUGGUGCCCAAUAGUUCACCCCCAGCUUUCCAAGACCAGGAAGAGUUAUAUACAUACUUCAUUUUAUCAGCAUGUCUUUGUUGAAGAAAUCAGGUCAUUUAUUCUGUAUAGUUUCCGCAGCCUGGUUUUUGCUGAUUGCAUUCCAAUGUGUCAAUCAGCAUGAUUCACAGAAGCCUCUAUUUCCUGUAAAUUGGUGAGUCUGGCCAUUUUUGCCAUCUUCAUUACAUCAAGUGUUCUAUUCUGCUCAGGCUGCUACAACAAAAUUCCACAGACUGAGUGGCUUAUGAACCACAGAGAUGUGUUCUAACGGUUCUGGAGGCUGAAGACCAAGAUCGAGGCACCAGCCUGAUUGUUUUCUGGUGAACCAGCCCUCAUCUGGGUCCAUCGCUGGCAUCCUCUGCCUGUGUCCUCACUUGGUAGAGGGGGCUGGGGGCGCUCUGUGGGAUCUCUUUGAUGAGAACACUAAUUGCGUUCAUGAAGACUCUGCCCUCAUGACCUAAGAACCUCCCAGAGGCCUCAUCUUAUGAUACCGUCAGAUUUGGGGAUCAGGGUUUCAGCAUGUGGAUUUUGGAGGAGCGCAAGCAUUCAGACCAUGGCUCCAAGUUUUCUGGGUCAUCACCACCUCUUGCUUGACCUGCUGUGUUAGUUGGCGCGCCAGCUUCUAGACUUGCCUUUCUAUGAUGACCUGGCUUAUAGUAGUACUGAAUCUGGAACUCAUCAGACCUGCUGUUUUUCAUACCCUGCACAGCAACCCAGGGGAGUGACUUGCCCAAGGUCCUCCUGUAAAUGGAAUUGCUGGAAGCAGACCCUGAACCCCUCACCUCUCCAUGAAGUCAGAUCUGAAAGACCCAUUUUCCUCAGAAU